rnacentral:lncRNA from 1 species
UAGUUAUCAAUAUAAAGAAAACUUAACUACAAUCCACAUAGUACAUUCAGAAAAAAAUCUAACGAAGCCGUUACGUAUAAGUAGAUGAAUUUUAUUUCCAAUGUACCAAAAAACCGCUCUCUUCAACAUUCUAAAAAAUGGGGGAAAAGAGAUUUUCCGUAUUGUGUUGUUGCUUUCGAAACGAUGUUGUUUCUUCUAUUACACACAUAUUAUAGUUAAAAAUUGCUUCAAAUUUAGAAUCCGUUUAUAUUUUUUGAUAUUUUUAAUACAACUUUGACUAAAAACUGAUAAUAGUUUGAGUUCAUAUGUUAAAUUUUAUAUGGAUUUCUUAAGUUGAAAUUUUAUUAUUUUUCUGUGUUUUUUUUUAUUUUUUUCUUAUAGUUUACAUUAUUUUUUCUUAAAUAGUGACAAAUAUUUUUAUAAGUUAGAUUAAUUAAUUCAACUAUGACAUGAUAGGUAAAUGGCGCCAAUUGGUUCUUAUUGAACUUGUACUCAUCAUUUUUGCCUCCAACACAUCCAUAAUAUAUGUAAGGCACGAAAAGAUAAUUGAGUAACAUGAGUGAACUUAAGAAGAUUUAUUUUUAUAUUCACUUGUUUAUUUGAUAACCGAAAAAUUGUAGACUAACUAAUGUUAAUGGACUCAGUUAACCAUAUUUCACUAUCUAGUUUACCGGUAGCACCAAAUAUCUAUAACAUAAUUCAUUUUUGUAGGUAAUUUAUAGUUUAUA